CCCUAUUGCACCAUCGUUUCUUUAAUUCUUGAUUUACUCCCACCUUCAUCUUUUCUUUUCUUUUUUUCAUCUCUAUUCAAUGUCACUUCACACCUAUUUACUCAGAUUUGUGUGAGAGUGCCGGAUAAUGGUAUGUCUUGGACAUAGGUAUGUCCAAGUUUUUCCAUGCAUUGGGAGAGUCUUGGAGGGUCAUAUCUCUAUGCUUAUGUCCGCAUAUGCAUUGGACGCGAAUACUUAAAGAAAAAUAAAGAGAGAAAGCAAAAUUGUUUCACUCUAUAUUCUCAACUCUUUCCUUCUUGUAUCAUAUCAUAUGAUCUUAAAAUGAUUACAUGAUACUAAUGUGACAAGAACAUUUUCUAGUUUGGCCCAGCUUCUAGAGUCUGUACAUCAAAAAGCUCAACUAACACAAAGAUGGGGUUGGAUCCUACAGGAGGGAAAGAAAAAGAAGAGCCAUUGAGCUUCUGUAAAAGCUAAAAAUUGGCUUUCCAAGCAUAAAAGCAGAAACUUGAAAUCAAAAUGUCUGAAAAAUGCUGAACACUUUUUUGAAACUCUAUUUCAAAGUACUAUUGAUCCAUCCUUUUCAAAUAGUUCUGUAAAUGACUAAUUAAUUAAAUAUAUCAUCAAAGUGCCUAUUCUUUUUACAGCAAUAAAUUGAGCUCCUUAACAGUUAUUUAUAUCCAAUUAAAGCCCUUAGCUGGAUGAAAAAUGCCAUGUGGUUUAACACUUUGCAUCUCUUUACCAACUAAGAUAAGAUGGUACAUAGAACUGAUGGAGUGGGAUAACAUAGCAUUAGUAGAUGUGAAAAAUAUUUAAAACAUAUAUUUUAUUCCUUAUUUUUCUUUUUCAUUAACACCAUAUGCCAAAAAUUAAGUGUAUGAAAUUAUUUUGUAAUGUUCCCCAAAACAAAAUAAAAUCUAGGUGGUGUAGAACUCAACCUAGCUAACCUAACUCCCUAAAUAAAAAGGCAAUGUAAAAUAAAUUCAGAGGCUUCUAGAAGAUCAUAGCUGAAUCUGCAGAUUAACUUAAAAUAAUUUGUCAACUCAUUACCAAACAUACUGAAAUAUAAUGUUCAAAUCCUACACAAGGUUUCUGGAAGAAUCAGUAACUUUUACAACUACAGAAAAUUAAGAAUCUUAAAUUUAAAUCUAAAAUUUCAAUUCUAAAAUAUGAUGGAAUUUGUGCAUUAAAAAUCUCUAUAUAUCUAUAAUCAAAAUGCAAAUUUGAAAAACUCAAAACAGGAAAUCAUAAAUAAGUCUUGAAGGUACCAAGGCUCAUUGCAUAGGUUGUACUGUAUAGUAACUUCCCGUACAAAUCUUUGCUGUCGUAAGGCAUUCUGAGAAGUGAAAAGCAUUACAUGAGCUUAUUUCUAUUUAAUAAACAGAAAAAUAACAUAUUAGAUGAUACUAAUAGCAAUAAAAGAAAGAUUUCAAGAACACAAAGUAUGAAGCUUUGCAUUUCUUAACUAUAUAUGAAUCAUUACUCUUAACAAACUGCUGUCAGAAUAAUACGCAGAUACCAUGUAAACCAAUACCAAACUUAAGAAGAAAAAGGCAACAUAUCCAACUUAUGGGGCAAAUGAUUCCGCCUUUGCCUCAUACUUGUAGCAUACAGUUUUUUGCAACACCCUGCAUUCUGCACAAUAAUUUAUUCCUGACUAAAAAAGGCUCGCAUGAAUACACAUGCUUGGUUCGAACUGUAUGACAUUGUAAAUGGUCAUGUUUCCAAACAGUUGUAAACCUAUUUCCCAAUUCUGACCAGGGUUACAAGCUAUUGAUGCCAAAAGAUAUGAGAUAUAAUAGUCUACCAAGGCAAAAGCAUUGCAUGUCACAUAAAGCAAUACAAACAACAAUUUAAAACAACAGCUCCUUUAGAAAACACAAGAUGAACUAAAAGUAGAACUUCAAAAAAUUAGAUGAACAAAGGAGGCAGGAAAUACAGAAGCUGCUGCCCUAGUAGUAAUUGUCCGUUCUACAGCAACUGGAGCAAGGGUGGGCUCCACUGUUGAUGAAUGUGUAAGGCAUGGCUCCAAAUCAAUGGUUCCGCCUCCUUUCUGAAAUAAAAUAUAGCAAGAAAACACAAUAUUUAAGAAACAAAAGAUAUUAUAAUAAUUUAUUUUAAAUAUCAGCUUUCCACAACCUUAUUAAAAACUAAUGGAAUAAAGGGAAAAAAGACCAGAAACUUGUAACCUUAACAAUGCAGCAUCGUUCAACACGAUAACUACAACUGAUUCCAGCUCCCCAAGCACGGGAACGAACAUUGUUCCUAAGUUUAGUGGUGUAGCCUAGCAAAUAUUGGUCCUAUAAUGUCAGAAUGUUGCAUAAAAACAUAAUUCCAACAAAUAAUAGAAAUAAAUAGAGUACCUGAGAUAAAGAAUAUCAAAGAGCUAAUCAAACAAAACCACCAAAGAAACCAAAAAAUAAAAUCAAACCAUGACAAUGGUUCAGCUCAAGUCAACUUUGGUCCAUCUCAUUAUUUUGGGUUGAGCUAAUAGAAAACGUAAUUAUUACGUAAUAAACUUCACUACUUUUUAAUCAAUUUUAAAUGCUUAUCUAUCUUUAAAUGUUUCCUUAUUAAAGCAACAAGCAGGGUUUUAAAAUGCGGUUGUGGUUGCAUUUUCGGUAGCAUCGCAUUUAUCGUGAUUGUGGAUGUAACGGGGGUUAUUGCAGACAUUGCAGUCAUCACGGUGUGAAUUUUUUUUUGUUUCGCACAAUUUAUUUUUAUAAUAUAGCUAUUAUAAGUCUAAUCAUAUAAUCUUAUUUUAAAUAAUUUUUAAAGCAUUUUAUUGCAAUUUAUAAUUUUUAUGUACAAAAAUAAAGUAAAAUUUGUACUCUAUAAAGUAUUAUAGCAAACUAUUAAAUAUUCAUGGGAAAUUCUAGCAUGAGCUCCACUAAAAAUGGCUUAGAAAAAGCUUUUACUAAUAUUUCUAACGAUUUACCAAUAUUGGCUUUACCAAUAUUUCUAAGGAUUUACCAAUAUCGUAAGAUAUUUUGGUAAAAGCUUUUCAUAAGCUUUUUUCAGUGAAGCUCAUGUUAGAAGUGCCCCAUAUUCAUAACAUCAAAAUAAAUUUAUAAUUUUAAGUAUAUAUUAUAAUACUUCUUUAGUUAUUAAAAGUUAAAAUCUAAUUAAAAUAUUUAGUUUUUAAUUUUAAGAAUGGUUCUAAGUUUAAGAUUUUUAAUUUUAAGAAUAGUAAAUUAUGAAAUAUUUAACUUUCUUUUAACUUUUACUAUCAUAAAUUAAUAUUAGUUUAUAAUAAACUAGAUGCCAUUUUAAUUAUUAUUUAAAUAAAUAAUAAAACAAAACAACUUUAGAUGCUUCUCGAACAAGCUUCGUUCAUUUGGACCGUUAUAAUUAAAUUAAAGUUUAGUAUAUAACAUUUAUUAUUCUCUCGUGUGAAAUAAUAUUAAUGACUUUCCUCUUUCCAAAAUAAGAACAGAACAAUUCAAAUAUAAACUAUCAAACUAAUUUAAUUUAUGAAACCCAUUUCUUUCUCUACUCUUUGGCCUCUGCUUUAGUUUUCGUCCCUUCUCAUCUCUCUCUAUCUACUGUCUUAGAGUUUAGUAAAAAAAUCUGAACUUUCUGCUCUCAACUCUCUUCUCAAGAACUAACUCUUAUAAAACACAACCCUCAUCUAUUUUUGUCUUCAACCCAUUCUCACCCAUACCUGACAUGUUACGAGAACAAGAAAAAAAACCCUGUGCUGUGUGAACUGAUGAGUGAAUGUUCGUUUAUUAGUCUUAAAAACUAUUUCCAGUGGUUUUCACUCUCUCUUUCUCUGUAGUUUUCAUUUUUCUCCUAAGGUAUGGCAAGUUAGCACAAAUAGCACCCUGUUUUUCCUUGCUAUCCUGCUUUUUUGCAGCCACUAUUGAUCAAUAAUAGUGUGAAAUAUUUUCACACCGCUAUUGAAGAGAUUAGUGGUGGUGGUCAGCGGCACUACCACGAAAUAACGGCCACUAUACCGCUAUUGCGCCACUUUUUGAAACCCAGGCAUUGAUGCACAAAAUAGAGCACAUAUGGUGCUUUAUUUUUAGUGACUAUGUUUAAUGUUAAUGGAGUUAAGCUGCUGAGGCAUAUGUUACGGUAAUUAUUGGAAAAAUAAAAUACAGCUGAAUUUGGACUUACAAUCUUGUGGUGGCAGCACACGGAUAGUAGCACGUAGCUCUUGGAUAGCUGGUGGAGGUGGAGAAGCAGUUGGACGGCAGUAACCAGUAUGCAUAAGAACUAUAAAGAAUCAUCACAACAUCAAUGCAGAAAAUGUGUUAAAGGAUAACAAUUCUAUGAUCUACAUGCCAACAAAAGGUUAGUACAGAUUUCAUGUUGCCAUUACAACAUACCAGCAACAAGGUCAGAGUCAUCUGUGUAUAUAUCAGUCCCCCAUAGCUGGCCACCCCUGACCUGCACAGAAUGCACUUAUUUAUUUUUUAUUUUUUUCAAAAAAAAAACAGAUAAUGUCUUUGACAACUUUCAUCCAAUUUCAAGACCAUCAAGUUCGCAUUAUAAGGAUCUCUCAAGGUAAAAAAAAAAAAAAAAGCAAUCAAAACAAUGAGAAAAUAUCACGAUUAAUAAAAGUUUUCAGCUUUUGCAAAUUGCACAAGUAAAAGAUCAAAAUCCUCAAAAGAAGGAAAAAAUAUCUCUUGGGUCUUACCUGACGAUUUGUGGCAGUAACAUGCUCAGCAGGGAUUUGAAUUUCAAGAGUAGGGCCAUUUUGAGAGCUUUCACCAUUUUUAUCAGCUUGAGAAGCUUCAUAUUCUUCCCACAACUUAAUCAGCUCUUGCAUGCAUUCACCAACUUUAUAAACAACAGUAGACACUUCAGGUUUACCUGAAACACAAAAAACAUUAGUAGAUUACAAAGAGAAUGUAACCCCCAGUGAAAUGCCUAAAACCUUUCAGUUCAAUCAAUGACCACAAACAACCCACUUCACAGUUGCACUGAACAAGCAACAUAUAAUAGGUAGGAAAAAGAAGCAGCGACAAUAAUUAUUCAUCACUCACAAGACCUACUUAGGUAACCAUGUUAUAAACAAGACAACGCUUAUAAUAACUGUAACACAGUUCCCUCCACUCAUGAGGCUCUAAUACAUUGGAGCUUCUGUCAUCUCUAACUCACCCAACUUCCUUCUAAGCAUCCAUGAAUCCUAAAAGUAAUUAUAACCUUUAGUAUUUAGAAACUUGACUAUAGAAAUAAUCAUCUAUCUUGAUGUCACUGAUUUAACUAUUCACUAGCCUUGUCCCUUCUAAGUUAAAGGCUUGAGUGAAUUACUGUGGAACGACCUAAUAUACAUCCUAAUACAGCCUGCAAAUCAAAUAUAGAGAAAAUUUCAUCAGUUCCAGUCUUCAUCUACCAAAUCAACGUGCAAGGUCAAGCCUAAACUACCACCAUAAAUGACACUUCAAACAUACAAAACGUAAAUGUCCACAUGUUAAGCACAGGCCGAGAGAAGCUUUGCAACUAGGAUAGGUUCUUUCAGAUCAGUCUAACUUCACUUCACCAGAUCAUAAUGUCCCCUUCAAUCAAAUAUGAAAACAAAUUUGCAGCUAAAAUGUUGAAAUCCAGAAUGCACUAAACCACAUCUCACCCUGAGAUCUGCAAUGUAAAAAAAAAAAAACUAUGAUUAGAAUAACAAGGGCAAAAUACCAAAGUAAAACUUGUUGAAAAUGAAAAUGUAGCUACCAAAGCUUCAACCAAUAGAACUUUUAAACUCACUUAAAAAGAACUUGUAUAAUAGCCAAUUUAUAUGAAUUUCACUUUGUGUAAUGACUGAAAGACAGGAAAUACCCUCAGAACAAAAAAAAAAAAAUUGUAAUUAGUUAGGCAUCAAUUACAUUGCAUAGAAACUGAGAAAGUACGAUGCCUUAGAACAAAUAUCAGCAACAUUAUUUUUUAACAAUAAGACCAAUAGCAUCACGAAUACUUCUAAAUACUUUCAAAACAUCUCUGAAAAUAGCCAAUACAAAUAGGAAACCCAAUUAAUUUGCAAACAAUGGUAAAACCAAUGCCAAUCAGAAGGCUGGAACAAGGAUUAUAUAGAAAGUGGCUGCAUAUUGAAGGAGUUGCAGGCAAAAGGAAAGUAUUAGAGAGAGGGAAUGCAUAUUACAAAGGCUAGAAUGCAUGGAGAUUUUAAAGAGAAUAAUUUCAUAUAACAUGUAAGCUGCAGUAAGGUAAAUAUUAAAACAAACACUACAAAAAUAGGAAGACACACCCUUCGUUGUCUUGAGGUCGGGGUCUAAAAGAAGGCUCACGGCUUGCCACUUGAGGGCUGCCUCUUGGACGAAGCAUCCUUUUACGCUGCUGGACUCCAGAAUUAAAACCUUCCUUUUCCCUUUCCGUAGCCCCUUCACCAUCUGCACACCCAUCAUCAGAUUCUUUGUCAGAGCACUUGCUGCGCUUCUCAGGUCUGUCUCCUUCUGUGUCACCAUCUCUUUCUCUUCUCCUAUCUCUAGCUUCUCUAUCAACAUUUUUCCAGCUAUCCAACUCUUUUUGUUUUUUCUGCUCAGAUGCCUGAUUUUCCUGCUCUUGUAUUCUAACAGAUCCAUCUCCUAAUUCCUUCUCAUUGUUUAAUCCUUCUUUCUCUGCUCCAUUCAGUGGCUCUCUCUUGAUAUGAUCCUUCUCCCUCUCUUUUGGCCUUUCUUUUUCCUUCAAAUCCUUCCUUUCUCUUUCCCAUCUCUCUGCUUCUCUCUCCUCUCUUGCAGAUUCUUUUACCUCUCCGCUACUAUUACCAACAUGUGUGUUGUUCCUACGAUCACUUCUUUCCUUAUCUCUAUCUCCCCAAUCCCGGUGUUUCCCAUCUUUUCUUUUUCUAUCCUUGUCUUUAAACCUAUCAUCACCUUUUGAAUCAAACUUGUUCUCACCAACAGCCUCGUGACCUUCAGCAUAAUCUCUUUCUUCAGUAGCAGGACCUUCCUUUACAACUUCAACUGUUCCUUGUGAAUUAGCACGUUGGAUAUGCCAUGGAUCUAUGUUUCCACCUGGGGGCUCUGAAUACCUUUUUCCUCUAAGGUAAUCCCUUGGAUCCUUCCAACUCGAAUGAAUACUAGCCCCACCAUAGAGAUCCUUUUCCACCUUCAAAUCACCCUUCGGACCACUAUAAUUCUCUCUAUCAUGUUUCAAUUCUUUACUCUCAUCCCCCCUACUCUCAAAUCUACCAUCCUUUUCACCUUUCCCACUUUGAUACUCCCUCUUUGCAGCCUCAGCAUAGAACUCCCUUGGUUCCACUCUCUGUUCUCGACUCUCAACCCUAACCUCUCGGUUGUCCUUGGCCUCCCGCAACUCCAUCCUACUCUCAGAACAACCCUGAUGAGAAUCCAUAUGUGAAUCAUUCAAAGCAAUAGACGAAGGCAUUCUAUACAUGGAGUGCUGUAGAGGUGACCUUCUACCUGAAUCACGAAGCUCGGUUCUAGGAAUCCUAGGCAUUCUAGCAUCUUGCCCCAUGUCAUAAGGGGCAGGAUGAUGGUACUCAGUGGGUACAGAAGACGAAGGCAUUUUAGGAUAAUUAGCAGUAUCCUCAUGAGGGUAUUUGGAGGCAGAAGAAGAUUGAGCACCACCUUCUUCAUGAGAUCUCUUUGGAGCACCACUCAUAUUUUCAAAUCCCUUCAAAACAAUCACUUAAUACCUAGAUGAAUUAAAGCAAAGCAAAGCAAAAAAAAAAAAGUUUAUUGUUUUCCUGCAAAAGGAAAAGAAAGAAACCCAAAAGUUAUAUUCAAAUAAAAAACCGAAAUCAGAAGGAGAGAAAAGAAUGUUGUAAGAGAAAAGGCAUAACGCAAAAACCUAGUAACAUGUGUUUGAGUAGCAGAAGAAAAUAUAUCAAGAAAAAGAUAUAGGAGUGAAUAAGAAGAAGAGAAAGAAAAUGGAGAAAAUGUGAGGAGAAAAGAGAGCUCACCUUGGAUUUUGGGAGUGAAUUGAUGAAAAGGUAGGGAUCGAAGACGAAGAUGAUGUGUUGUGGUUCGGGAGGUUUUUCUAUUUCAGUUUUAAUAGAAAGGCAAAUUGCUGAAUGUUAGAAUUGGAUGCACCGAACCCGAACCCAAACCCAAACCCUGUCUUACAAUGGGUAGGGCACAUCAAAUAUCCAAUCCACCAUGUGAAUAAAUAAAUAUAUUAAAAUUAUCUAUUAAAUAAUAUUAUUUCACAUUAUUUUAGUUUUCUUUUGUUUUUAUUUUUAUUUUUUUAAAACUAAAACAUCAUUAAUUUAUAAGCUGAGCCAACACGUUUAUCUUGUACACCCUAACUUAAGACUCUUGGAGGACAAGAAACAAAAUAAGAACUACAUGCAGUAGACAAAAUUACCCAGCACCUUAUUUGCAAUUCGACGCGUCCACUAGAAACACAAAUGUUGGAAUUGAAGCCCCAACAAAUAAUAAUAGUAUAAAAUCAGGCCAAGACAAAACCUCGCGGAUGGACAUAGCCUCCGCAACUUGUGGCUCCGACGGCAGAGAAAUAUGUGUAAAAGUUCGAAUGAAACAGCCAUCCGCGUCUCGAAUAAGUGCAACUAAACUAGUCAGGGGCAAAGUUAAAAAAAUAAUCAGGUCGAAAUUAAAUUGUAAUUUUUAUAAUAGUAGAAAUGUAAUUUUAUUAUUUUAAUAGUCCACAUAUUUAUAAUUUUUAAAUAAUUGAAUCAAAUUUUUAUCAUUUUUAUAGGAUAAAACAUAAUUUUACUUUUUUAAUAAAAAUUUUAAAUGACCUAAAUAAAAAACUUUCCAUUUUAAGAUGGUUAGGCCCCUAGCAGCACCUAGCUACGGCUACGCCCCUGAAACUAGUCAAGUUUGAAGACAAAAAACAAGGCGUCGUUUGGUUCGCUGUAUUAGAUUAGAGGUGUAUUGGAUUAGAGGUGUAAUGGAAUAGAGGUGUAAUAGCAAAUCAACUGUUUGGUUGAAUGUAAUGGAAUAGAGGCGUAAUAGUAAUCUUGUGUUUGGUUGAAUAGAAUAGAGGUGUAAUAGCAUAAUGGAAAAAAACUAAAAUGACUAGAAUACCCUUAGCAUAAAUUUAUUUUGGUAAAUGAUUAUUGUUAUUGUUAUUUAAAUUUUAAUAAGAUUAUUAUUAUCAAUAAUAAAUAAUUUAAUCAUAUUUAAACAUAAUUAUUAUUAAAUAUAUUAAAUAUAUUAUAAUUAAAAUAUAUAACUUAAUAAAAUUCUUAAUAAUCAAUAUUCUUAUAUGAAUUUACUAAAAUCAUAAUAUAUGAUACUAUAAAAUAUAAUUUGAAAUAAUUAAUAUUAAAUAUAUUUUAAUUAAAAUAUAUGAUUUAAAAAAAUUUAAAAUAAUUAAACCUAAUAAAUUUUCUUAUAUGAAUUUGUAUAAUUUUAAAUAAUUAUUAUUAAAUAUACUUUAAUAAUAAUAUAUAAUUUCAUAAAAUUCUUGAUAAUAAAUUUUCUUAUAUGAAUUUAUAUAAUUUAAAAUAAUUAAUAUUAAAUAUAAUUUAAUAAUGAUAUAUAAUUUCAUAAAAUUCUUGAUAAUAAAUUUUCUUAUAUGAAUUUAUAUAAUUUAAAAUAAUUAAUAUUAAAUAUAAUUUAAUAAUGAUAUAUAAUUUCAUAAAAUUCUUGAUAAUAAAUUUUCUUAUAUGAAUUUAUAUAAUUUAAAAUAAUUAAUAUUAAAUAUAAUUUAAUAAUGAUAUAUAAUUUAUACAUUUAACCAGUGCCAAGCAUUAUGACCUUUAAGCAAUGUUGAACUUGAUCACCCAAAUUUUCACAAAUACUGCUAAUUACUUAAUUCAAACUGCUUCAGCUUUAGGUGUUUCAGUCAAGGAGAUAGAGCAAUCAUGUCAACAAAAUUUUCUCAUUAGAAAUGCAUUGUACAAAAUGCCGGUCAGAUCAUUUCAACCUUCCAGCUACCAACUAAUAUGUUUUCCAAUUUUCUAGCCCACCCAAACUUUACAAAAUGCUAGAUAGCAUAUUAGUCACAAUCAUAUUCACAUCACUAACUAUAUCCGAAAAUGAAUGACCUUGAGAAAAAUUACAAAUAUUACAUGGAUUUCAUUCAAUCAAUGUUGAUGUAGAAGCAUCCUUGCCCUCUGUUGAAGUUGAGUCAAUGACCUAAUACAAGUGCCCUCCUCGCAUGUCUUUAAGCGUGUAAGGCUGAUUAGUUCCUGAAUAAAAACUACAAGACUACUUUGCAUUGGCAACUACCGACACAAAAGGUGCUAUAACAUGAAGGUAGCACACAAAAGUUCACUUUACAUACCCCAUAGGCUAGGGACCAUAAAUUGACCAUGUGUGGACACCAGACACACUACUUGAGGGUGCACCUAAGGUUAGCAUCAAGUCAGGGCCUAAUAAUUAAUUGCCCAAAGCAUUAUGAUAAGAUGUCAUAGUGCCCAUUUGGUUUCUAUCUAACUCACAUAGUCAAGAUGAAAUAUAUAUAUAUAGGAGAAAACUGGUAAAAUAUGAGAAAAAAACACAGUGCCUUAUGGGGCUUUUACUAAAUUAUUUAUCUAACAAUUAAAGACCUAAAAUGCCUAAAGUCAUUUCAUCAUUGAUUAAAGAAAAAAGAUCUCUUAGAUCUAGAAAGUUGGUUCUGCAUAAUUAUUAGACACAUAUUGAUGGGGACUUUAAACAAAGAAAAUAAAGUAAAAUGUGAUAUGGGACCAAUCCACCUAACCAUAUUGAAAUGGGAACAAAAUAUCUUCAUCUUAAGCUGAUUGAUUAAUGGAUCAUAUCAGGAGUCUACAUUGGCCAACAAGAUAUAAAUCAAGUGGCCCAGGUUUCCCUACAUCUCCUAAUCGUCCAUCCUCAUCACAUUUAAAUCUAUGGUGUUAUCUUACACCGACAUAUUGCCCUAUAAUGAUUCAACAUUAUGCAGCAUAUGGCUUAUUUAAUGCAACAUUUAUCAUCAAAAUCUAACCUUUUUCCAUAUAAAAAAAGGGAAUAUUAAUCGUAUCAUAAAAGAUUGUUUUUGAGUCAAUUCCAUUAGAUUUGGCUUGAGACUUUUUUUCUAUUAAACCCAACACAAUUUCCACAGUGAAGAACAUAAACAAAUACUUAAAACAAAAUAGGAAAACAUUAAACCUAAUGCAAUGCAAGUGAGAAAAUGAAAAGCAUACCUAGAGACCAAUAAGGCAUGGGAGCAGGCCUGCCAAUAAAAGAGGUGUACUGAUCAACAACGUCAAGGGGAGUAGGGCCAGAAAAGAAGUAAAAGUCAAAAACACCACCAAUAAUCUUAUACGUCAAUGAAUUCCCUUUGUAAAACACAUCCAUGCCAUUGCUGCUCAACAAGAGAACAGCAUGUGCAAAUGGCUCACCACCCACAUUCCUCAAAUCCAUAUAUACCGCCUCUUGUCUGUGUCACUCCACCUUCAUCUGCAUGAACCUUGAUCCCUUCUACUUACAUCAUUAAGUAAAAGGAACAUUGAUAAUUGAGCAGACCAUAAUCCAAAGACUAAAACUAGCAAGAUGGGUUAGUAGAAAAAUUAUGCAGCCAAAAUCUAAUGGUCACAUUAAAGACAUAUUUAAACCCUUCAUAUGACAUGCGAUAAAGGAAAGGGCUUUCUUACAUGACCACAGGUAAGUUUGCAGGCAAUUGCAUGACUUGCUUCAUGCAAGAAUACUGUAAUGAGCUUAAAAGGCAGCAACAGCACUGUUCUCCAUAGCUACAACAAUCAGGGGGAAACAUUAGGUCAAUCCAUUUAAGCAAACAGAGGCAACCAGUUCAAAUUCCAAAGAAUGCUGUAUCUUUUAACAGAAAGUCAACUGCAGUGAAUCCUCCUAGAAAACUCCUAAAACCUUGGCAUCCUCAUCCUUAUGAACAACUUAUGAAAAUUGUUGUAAAUGCCAUAGCAUUUAUGAGUUCCUUAUGAACAGAUUUACAACAAGUAUUACAAAAGUAAAUCACAAAUGCUCCCAGAAAAGAACCCAAUUUCCUUCAACGUGCAAACCAAGAAACUAUUAAACUGUUAAUCUAUUUCAUAAUUCAAAUUACCAUCAAUUCGAUGGUUUCUCCAAAACAAGAAACUUAUUAAAUUUUAAACUAAAACUAACAAUCAUGGCUUAGUCAACUAAACCGUAGAUAUAUCAUCCUUCAAACAAACAUAACCAGGGAGCUCUUACCAAAAUUACCCCAUUGUUUUUACCGUGUUUAUAUUGUUUCCUUACAACAACCAAAAGCAUAGCAGAGAAAAAGAUGAUCUUCGUUAUAAAUAAGAGAAAAAAAAUUCAAGAAAGAAGCUUACAACAAGAAUGACAACAGUGAAGACACCAAUUGUAACCAGAAAGGUAACUUGGCCAUUAUUGCAACAACUGUUUAGCUCCCAGUUCACCAUUUUUUUGCCUUUAUUUCAAAAUCUAAAAAGAACCCUUUUUUUUUCAGGGGUCUUUUGUUUGGGAUUUGAGAAAGUUAGAUGAAAAAACAAUAUAUGUUCCAAUAUCCAAAUCAUUGAACUUCAAAUAAAUAGAAAAAAAUAUCUCAAAAAGUUUAUAAUAAAGGCUUCCUAAAUUACCAAGCAUCAAAAACUCAGAAAUUUUCAUCCUUUUCAUUCACAGACCAAAUAAAGAACUAUGAAAACACACUAAAAGGGAAAAAAAUCUCGAUAAGAAGAACACACCCACAAAUGGUACGCCAGAGGAUGUUAGAGGAGCAGAACACACUGGAUGUUAGAGGAGAAGACGGUGAGGAGAGUGGAGAAGAAAGGUAGAAGGAAGAAACAGAACGUGGAUUUUGGGUAAAACAGAAGCGUGAAUCGGGAGGGUAAAACAGGGACCAAAACUGAAGCAGCACCUAAUCUGAGCUCAAGGAAGGGAUUAGAAAAUGGUGGAUUUUGGGGAUUAAAUCAGUAAUGUAUUAGACCCGUAAUAGCAAUACACUGAACCAAGCAAAGUAUUAGAGGGGGAUUAAGUGGGGCCCACCGAUUAGGGGUGUAUUGGUUAUACCAAACAUGGUGUAAAUUUCAACAUACCAUGCGAUGGCUUGGCCUACAAAUGCACACUCAACAUCUCUGCCGUCUCUCGAAUGUGCAUAGCCUCAAACACACAUUUGGCAUAAUCCCAAACAUACAAUAAAUUAUCAACAGAGGCUACAACCUGCGCUGUUGUUAACAAUUUCAACUGCCAGCAGCAGAGAUUGUGGACAAACCAGAGACACUAAAAAAUGACCAACAUUCUUUCGAUGUAACUAGGAUUGUGUGUGUAUAUAUAUUCAAUAUAUAUUUUCAAGAGCAUUGAAUUGUUUCAUAUAUUAAGAAAAUAAAAUUAUAAGUAAUCUUGCAUUAGAAUUAGAGUUGUACACGGGUCGGGCCCUAAUAAAAUUUUAAGCUCGAUUGAUAGGCCCGACCCAACUCAGCUUGAAAAAUGAGUUUAAAUUUUUGCUCAAAUCCGACCCGAAUAAAAAAAUGUUAAAACUUAGGUCCAAUUCGACCGUAUUAAUUUUUUAAAAUUAAUUUUUAUAUAAAAAAUUAAAAUAUAUAAUACAUCAAAAACACUAAAAAUAUUAAAAUAAAUGUUUCCCAACAAUUGAAAAUAAAUUUAAAAAAUUCCUUAUAUUUAAAUAACACUAAGAUAGGUGUAGUUUAACAAGCAAAUGCCUCUAAAAUAGUAGCAAAAUUAACAAUAAAACAAAAGUUAUACAUUAUCCAAAUAAUAACAACAAAAUAAUAGCAAUAUAAUAGUGAAAUGACAGCAAAACAGUGAAAAAUAGUAGCAAAACUACAUCUUUUUUUGCAAUUUCGAGCCGAGCUAGGGCAAAAAAAUCUUACUUAAGGCUCGGCCCAUUUAGAAAAUAGGCCUUUUUUUGCCCAAACUCAUUUUUUGACUUAUAUUUUUACCAAAAUCCUUCUACUUUUCAAACGGUCAGAUGACCUGUCUCAUGGACAUAUUAUAAAGAGAUUAAAAUUGCAAAACUUUUGAAUAAUGUAGAAUAAAUUAAAAUUAGUUGGGUAUUAUAAUAAUUUGUAAAUAUUUAAAUUCCAUAAACGGAAUAAUUAAAAGAAAAAUUGAAUACACAAAAAGUUACCAGCAAUAAUUUUUAAAAUUACAAAGAACUAAUAUUAAAAGCAAAUAUAUAAAAUUACAAAGUGAUUUUAAUUAGCAUAAAGAGAAAACCUUAAAAAACUGAAAUGAAAGAAAAAUUAAAAGAUUAUAAACUAUUCCCUUGCAAUUCUUUGGUGCAAAACUUUGUUUAGUAAACUGAUAUUUUGUGUUUCAAGAAGCCGAGAUAUUUAUAGGAGAAUAAAAGUUGGUGUAAUUGGAAGGGUCAAAGCUUAGAAUAUUUUAUUUAAUGUAAUCAAUUUAAUGAUAUUUAAUUUUAAACAUUCUCAAAUUAAGGCAAUAAUUUUAUUUUCAAUUUUUUAUUAAAUUCCUAUAUGUUGUUUGUAACUACAUAUCUUUAAAUGCUAAUUAUUGCAAUUACAAUAAUUUUUUUAUUAGUAUUCGUUGGUAUAUGUUGUAAUUUAUUUGAUUAAAUGUUUUGAAUUGAAGUUAAAUGUUUUGUUUUGCUUGGUAGCACCUUGUAAUCUUAAUUUGGUAAGGGAGAAAGGUUAGGGGUGUUGCAACAAAUGACACUUCACAUCCUCGAACGAGAGUUUAUCUCUAUCAUAAAUUAGGGUUUCAUUAAAAGACUUGUAUGAUAAGGGUAAAAAGCACAAUAAUAGCAUAGCCUGAUCUUAAUCAUCAAUCUUAACCUCAACAUUCUUUAAAUCAAUUAAAAGAGUAAUAAAUUGACUAAUGUGAUCUCUAAGAAACUCACAUUUGUUCAUGUGGAACGUAAAUAGACAUUGUUUCAACACUAAAUGGUUAGCUAAAGACUUAGUCACAUAAAGAGUUUCUAACUUUUUACACAAGGCAGAUGAGGUUUUUUCCAUCAAUGCCUUCUGUAAUACCAUAUUCACAAGGCACAACUGGAUUGCAGACAGGGCAUUUUCAUCAAACUUUUCCCAUUCUAUCUGAUCUAGAUUCUCAGGCUUUUUCCUGAUAACGACAUUUUUCAGGCCGGUCUGAACUAAAAUUGCCAUUAUUUGAACUUACCACAUAUUGAAAUUUGUGACACCAUUGAACUUCUCAAUGUCAAACAUUGUUACUGCCAUCUCUGAACAUGCUGGUCUACGAAAAUUGGACUAACUCUAAUACCACUUGUUGGAGAUCAACCCGAUUAAGCAACAAACAAGUAAAAAUAGCGGAAGAAAUUGAGAAAUUGAUCACACAAAUUUAACGUAGAAAAACCCCUCCAAAGAGGAUAAAAAACCACGGAAAAAGAUAAUUUUACUAUAAUGAUAAAUUUGUGUGUUCAAUUUCUCAAUUUCUUCCGCUAUUUUUUACUUAUUCGUUGCUUAAUUGAGUCGAUCCCCAACAUUUAUCAUAUAUUUCAUAUUUUUAUGAUUAAAUAUUUGAUGCUAAUACUUUAUGUAUAUAACAUUUCUAACUAAUAAUAAAACAAAAUAAUGCAACAUAUCAAGAAUUAAUAAAGUAAGACCAUACAAACUUACCUAACCAAACCAGUAACAAAUACGACACCGAGGACUAUUUCACAAUUUUUCCUUUUUUCUGUAACUAUGUUUUGAUUGGUUCAAUCCUUGAUCUAUAUGAUAAUUAAGUUUAAUUUAUCAAUUCAAAUACUUUACAACACUCAAAUACAUGCAUACGAUUUAUUAAUUUCAUUUUACAAUUUUUUCCUAAACUUUUAUAUUUUAUUCAACUUAGUCCAUAAAACUGAAAUAACUACAUCUUUAAAUUUUAAGCUUCAUUUUUCAAUACAAUUUCAAUUUCAUCCCUGUAUAGCCCUCUAAAUUUAAAAAUUACAAAAAUUUCAUGUUAAUUUCAAAAUAUUUUCAUUUUAGUUCCUAAGUUCAAAAUUAACAAAAUUUACUUUACAAUUUAGUCCAUAAUCAAAUCUAAGCUUAUAACCAAGCUAUUUAAUAGCAAAAACAUCAAAAACCAUAAAAUGGCAACAUUUCAAAACUUUAACAGUUUUACGAUUUAGUACCCGGACUAUCUAAAUUAAGCUACAACGAUAUCAAAAACAUAAAAAUUACGGAAAAAUAGACUAGAAUAACAUACCCAUGCAAAGCUUGGAAGCUUGACCGAAUGGUUGAAGGUUAACCAUGGCUUCCUAAUUCUCUUUGGCACCCACACUUGAAGAAGAAAGAAAUAAUAAUGGUGUCCACUUUUGUUUGUUUAAAUUGUAACAUAUAAUUUAAAAUUUUAAUUAUAAUAUUAACAUAUUUUAACUUUAAACAUAGCACUAACCAUCCAACUCACUUAAUUUUUGGCUAAAUUGUCACUUAAAUCCCUUUAGAUUCAUUAAUCGGUAAAAUUGCUAAUCCAAAAUUCAAUUUGCGUAUACAAUAACUUUGUAAAUAUUUAAUAAAAAUAUUUACGGACUCAAUUUACAGAAAUGAGGUCCCGAUACUUCAAUUUCAGUGGUUAAGUGGUUCAGUGGUUAAGUGUCUGGUUGUGUGCUUAAAGUCUUGUGUUCAAUUCCCUUUCUUUAAAAAUUUUUAUUAGUAUUUUGAUCCCAUAUUUGGUUUGGAACGUUUAGGUUGUCUCUAAUUUUUGUAUGUUUAUCAACAAGAAUGAGUCUACUGGUUUAAUGGUUAAGAAUUCUCUUUCCCUUUGCAACUCAAGUUCAAAUUUUGUUGUGCUUAAAGUGGAAAUUAUUUUUGCUCCUAUCUUGCUUUGCCGCCCAUGCUGUUAGAAAGUGGGUUAAAUUUAAAUUCUUAGCAAUCUGAUUAUAAGAUAAUAACUAAUCAAAUUAUUUGGGAUAUACUCUACUAUUAUUUUUUAAAAUAUUGAGAAUUAUCCCUCAAUGAUCUCUUAGUGUUGUCCCUUUCUCCCCCAUUCCUUCUACAUUUCUGUUUUCGUCACAAUUUUGAUUUUGAACAUUUUUUUCUGUCAUUUUUUCCUUUUUCUACUCUUAUUAUUCUUUUUUUUUUCCGUAUUUUCUUACUUAGCAAACCCUUUUCCUUUCUUAUUUUUCCUUUUGUCGCCCCUUUUAUCUUCUGUUUUGUUGUUAUUUUGACCAGUGUUGUCACCUUUUCUAGAUUCAUUGUUGGCCGUGCGUGAUAGGGGAAUUUUGGUGAAGAUUGUAUGACACAUACUCCUCCUACGAGUUGAGUUCAACAAUUUUCUCUUUAAGGAACGCGAGUUGCUGUUGUAGUGUCGAUAUCCCAAAAAAAAAUUAGGUGUGUGUCUCUAACUCAAAAGCCUAUAGAUUUGUGAAAAACUAAAAGUGGCAAUCAACGGCACAUGGGCAUGUGCCUGGCCAUGUGAGCCACACGGGUUGGCCAGGUAAGGUGUGUGGGCCACACGAGCGUGUGGGCCCAUUUCAAACAGUUUAGUAAGGUCGUAUCAAUAUUGUAGUAUCUGCUAUGUGAUUAUAUACAAUGUUCGAUAAACACUAUCUGUUAUAUAAGUUGUAUGUAAUUUUCUGAAAGCAUGUUGAGUCAUGCAAAAUCAUAUAUUCGAUUGUAUGUUGUCGUGUAUGAGCAUGACUAUAUUCAAUAACUUCGAGUAAAUUUUUAUGCAUGCUGUUGAUCUGGUAAUUUGUAUGCUCUAUUGGCAUGUUUCUGAUAUGUUAUGUUCGUAAAUGAGCAUGAUUAGUUUGAGUACAUCUGAACGUGCAUUAAAUUGUUUGCAUGUGCAUUGGGGUGGGUUAUGAAUAUGAUAUAGAGGAAGUUUUGAUAGACUAUGUUUUGUGAUUCUGGCAGUUUACUCGCAAAAUCUGUUUUUGGCAGUUUAACUGCAAUAUUCAUUUUUGGCAAUUUUUUGCAUUAUAUCUAGAAGCUCGACUGCAUGAUUUUCAGUGGUACAUGACCACUAAUUUGGUGUGUUUGUUGGAUGGGUACUUAAAAAUCCUAAUUGGUGUGUUGGCUGAGUUAAGAUGGUGUGUAGCGGUCGGGGGUAGAAAUUAUUCUGUAUGACAUUGCAAUGCUAAGUAUGCCUUGUAUUCGAUUUUCUGCUCUGAGAUGUAUGGUCUGUGCAUCAUUUGAUUGUCUGUUAUGUUUUGGGCCAUGACACACGCUGGGUUUUAGCUCACUCAAUUAUUUUAUCUUCACAUGUAAUCCCUAGGACUAGGAUUGGGCGAUGUUCGAAAACUUUGAUUCAGAUUCUCAUAAAUAAACUGGGUUUCAAAGGUUUAGAUUCUCAUAAACAAACUGGGUUUCAAAGGUUUAUUUUGAUUUUAAAUCAUGAACUUUUUUUUUUUCACUGGUGAUAAUAUUUGGGACUUCACUUUUGGUUUUGAGCUUUUGUAGGGCUUUGGUAAGGUAGUUCAAUUAAACUGCAAGUUUUCUCUCUAAUAACUAAAUUGAGUAAUUAUGAAUUUUUACUGUUGCAAACCAAGAUAAGUUAACGAUUUUUCUGUUGGAUGACUAAGUUAAUAAGGUAAUAAUUGUUAAAUAACAAAUGUGUGGAGAAAGGUUCGCAUAACAACUGUAAAGAUUUCUGAAAGUAAAUAAAUCGGGUUUUUAUAAAAUUAUUUCUACAAGAUCAACAUUGUUUAAUAAGGCAAGUUAUUUUAUUUUAUUUUAGUUGUGUGUGGUCUAUUUAACCUCCAAGAUUCGGCCGAAACAUCUAGGCCAAGUUUAAGGUGUAACACUAAUUUUCCAUAUAGUUAAAAAUAUUAGACAAAAAUUCAAUAUAAUAAUGUAAUGACCUCGUAAUUAUUAAUAAAUAAUAUUUACUAACUCGAUUAUCGAAAAAUAAAAUUUCAAAACUACCAUUAUCAGUACCGCUAAAAAUUGAAUUGUUACAACUAAUAAAAUUAAGAAAAACAUAUAUAUAUAUAUUGAUAUUAGUGAAUAGCUAGUCUCUUCAAAUUACCCUAAUAAGUUUAUUUAAUGAUUUAUAACUUGUUAAAGAUAUCAAGGCUAUGUACUCAUAAUGGAAUAUGAUAUUAAAAAAAAAAAAAAGUGAAACAAUCAAUUGUUGAAAUUGUUACUUACAUCAGUUUAGUCUAUUAGAAUCCAUUCUCAGCUCAAGUUUUAUUAGUGUAACAUAUAUAUUAAUGUUUUAACACAUACCAAAAUUACCUUUUUUACUCAAUUUUCUUUUCCAACCAGAAAACCAAGUAUCCAAUAAACUUUUAUUCCAAAAAAUUUAAAAAUAAAAUAAACAUUAUCUUGAGGUUUAAUAUGUCAAAUUUGAGUGGCUUGAUUAAGAUGAACAAAAGCAAGUUUAAUGAAUGUACCUUAGAAAAUAAAUCAAAUAAUUGUAAAAUUAAUUAAUAAGAUAAACAAUGUAAUAAAAUAAAUGAAUGAGAGAAAGAAAAAAAAAACAGCUUCUUUUUAGAAUAAAAAUUUAUAAAUAAAAAUAUUUAAAAGAAAAGAAAGAGAUGAUAUGCUUAAGGUCUAGAAAGAGUAGAGGUGACUCUACAAACCUAAUUUUUCUUUUACAAAUAAUAGAGGCAUUUACGUAAAAUUUAAAGUUGCAUUUAUGUAAAAAAUAAGCGUAUAUAGACAAUAUUUUAGAUCAAUGUAAUAGAGAUAUCAGAUAUCGAUAUAAAAAUUUAUAUGCAUAACAAAUAUAAAUAUAUUGAUAAAUUCAACAGUUAAAUUAUUAAAUAUUAAUCGUAUAAAUAAACAUGAUAAAACAUAUUACAAGUGUUUAAACAAAAUUUAAUUGGAUAUAAAGGAUAAAAUAGAAAAAAAAAAUUUAACCUAAUAAAUUUAUUAAUUAUCAUUUGUCCAUUAAAGCCUAAUAUAAAAUUAUUAUUGUAAACACUGAAAUAUUUAAUUGAAAGUAAAAGAAGAUAAUUACUAUAUCGAAUAAAAAGAAUAAAAUAAAAAGACAAUUUGGAUCCUCAUCCUAUGUACUUAUAGUUAAUUUUACGCUAUUUACUUCUAUACGACUCGCUUAUCGACAAAUAUAUACUGUAUUUCUUUAAUACCAAUUUAGAUCCGCAUAAUUCCUUUUUGAAAAUUAAGAAUAAAAUUUAAAUCUUUUUAUCCGAACACGGUGGAUGUCUACCCAAAAAGUAGGAGGGUUUGGAUAAAAAUAUAGUUUUAAAUAUGGGUUUUGGUAAAAAAUAAAACCUAUUUUCUAAACGAGUCGAGCUUCGGAUAAGCUUUUUUUGACCCAACCUCGGCUCAACUUGGCCCGAAUUUACAAAAAAAAAAAAAAAAAACUGUUGUUGUUUCCACUGUUUUGUUGCCAUCUUGUUAUUAUAUUCCUUCUAUUUUGUUGUUAUUAUUUGGAUAUUGUAAAACUCUUGUUUUACUACUAUUUUAGAGGCAUUUACUUGCUAAGUUGCAAUUAUCUUUAGUGUUAUUUAAGCAUAAAUAUUAAAUACUAUUUUUAAUUUAUUUUUAGUUGGUUGGAAAACAUCUAUUUUAAUGUUUGAUGUAUUAUAUUUUUUAAAUUUGUUUUUAUAUAAAAAUAAUAAUAUAAAAAAUUUUAAUACAAACAAGCCGGACGCGAAUUUUAACAUUUUUAUUCAAGUCGAAUUUGGAAAAAGCUUUAAGCCCAUUUUUUAUGCCGAAUCUAAAAAAAUAAACCUAAAAUAUUCAAAUUUAAAUUAGGGAUUAAUUUUUUUAAUAAAAGAUUAUUCUACUAGUUUCGCGUGGGGUGUGUACUCAUUCAGUACCACUGGUUGGUUGAUGAUCUUGGUAUUUCGAUGGUUUUAGUCUAUAAGAUUAAAUAGCUAGAAAUUUUUUAUCUCUCGAGUUUAAGUUCAUGAGUUUUUUUCGUAUAUAUUAUUUUAGUUUAAAUCUAAAUUUUUUCAUUAAUAAUCCAAUAAAUGAUUUUUUAAAGUUUAUUAAUUAAAAUUAAAAUUGUAUUUGUAUUUGUUUGAAAAAUACAGUAAAUGUUAAUUUGUAAAGGUAAAAGAUCUCAAGUGUGGUGCACCUUGAAAGCAUAUUCUGUUGCGGGUGCGCUUCUUUUACCUUAACAAAUUAAUCUCUACCGUCGAGUACUUGUCUCUUGUCUUUUGCUUAAUUUGCUGGUUGAGGAAAAGGUAAUUUUCAGAACUGAAGAAGAGAGAUUGCUGAAUAGAUUAAUGGCAUUUUGAAAAUGAAAUGAAGUACAAAAUGCAAUACAAACACAUCCAUCAAAGCAUGAAUAUUUGAUACAAUAUACAUGUUAAAACAAAAUAAACAAAAGCUCAACUACAGACACUACAGAUAAAAAAACUAAAAGAGUUCUUUCAGUCAUUGGAAGGUAAAGAUAAAAGGCGAGUGAGUUCAUGAGAGAGUGGAGGUUUAAAAAGGGUUGUCAAAGAGAGAACCGCAUCCUUUGCUACCAAGCACUUAUCUUCCAUGUAAAGCUUCUCCUGUACCUUGGGACUUGUUACCAUUUCCAUUUUCCCAUCCCAACUCCUCUUCUCAUUUUCCUGCAUUUGUUUUCAACUUUAAAUUAACCCCACUGCUUACCAACAUUUUCAUUGACUUAUCAAAAGAAGAAGUAUUACCGGAAAGGAGUCCAUAACUUGAAGGGUUCCAACUUGGGCUUGCAAAUACUUGAUAUAUUUGAAUGCAGAUUGAAGCAUUUCAGCAGUGUUCAUCUUACUCCCCCCAGGCACAAGCUUCCCUAGCUCUUGAGUCUUUUUAGUAAUCUUCCUCCUCCUCUCUCUUGCUGCAAUGCUUUGCACUGACACACACUUUUCCUCGCUAAUCUUGUUGCAGUUUCCCACUGUUUUCAUUCCUCCCAAGUUAAUCUGAUGAUCUUCAAGCAGUGGACAUGGACUUACAGCAACCCCAUCAAAGACACCAGGCAUCAAGUCUGAGCAGUAAUGGUCUUCAAUGAGUUUAUGACGUUUGGGGCAUGGGUAGGAGCUCAAAGUUUCAUAUGGGAUGACUUCAGGUGGAAUGGAAUAUAAUGGCAGUAACGAAGUGUAGUUUUGAGGGUCAAGGUAAGAAGCAGGAAAAGUAUAAGGCAGCUCAAAUGCAUUCCAGUAGCAUUCAAGACCAUCUGGAGCAGCAAGCUGAGUCUCACUCUCAGCUUCAACUGUUUUUAUUUCAUACAUUGGCACAUCAGUUUGGCAGUCGAAAUAUGAACUCAAAACCAUGGUACGUAGCCGUUGAAAAUGCUGCAAAAAAGAAAAGAAAAGAAAAAGAAAUUUAUAUUACAGGAGACCCAAUGUAGCAAAAGAUUACGGAAAAAAAAGGGUAAAAGAGAAGCUUAACAUACCUGAAAUAGAAGAAGAAAACUGUUAAAAAUCAGUUUUGGUGCUGAUUGACUACCUGUUGAGUUUGAGACAGGAAAGAUUUUUAGAAGACCAAACUUUAUACAAAAAAGAAACUAAAAAAAGGAAAAACUGAAUCCGAGAAGAGAGUGGUGGGUUGCGAUAAAAUAGGGAAGACUGGAUAAGAAACGGUUAGAGGUAGUUACAUGCGGCAACCCAAUUCCCGCUAUCACCUCUAUUGCAGGUGUCUAAUAUAUGACUCUAUGCCUUACAACUGAUAUCUGUUUGGAUCUUAGGACGUCUAUUACAACUGUCAAUGUUGGAUGGCAGUCAAGGAUGGAUCGUUUUUCGCUAACUUAUGCCACAGUUUUGGUGUAAAAAUUAUAUAAAAAGCUAAUAAAAUUUUAGCUAAAAUUAAAACAUCAAUAUUUUAAUAUUUUAGAUUCAAGUAUAUAGUUUCUUUUUCUAAAUUUAUUCAGGUUGUGUUUUUUUUUUUUUGAAUUUUAAAUUUAAAGGUAACAUAAAAAUAUGAAAAAAUAAAAAUAAAAAUAUCAAUUAUCAGAGGUAUAUUAAUUUGUUCUGCUACCAAUUAACACAAAAUGGGUAAAGCAGUAUAGAUAUUACUAAAUUUGAAGGAAAAAUUGAUGCCUACAUCUAAAUAAAUAUUUACUUCUAAAUUCAAAAGCCCAAAAAAAACAUCAAAUGAGUAAAGACUAUAAACAGAUAUUUGGGGACAAAAAAGUUGAAAGUGUAGUAGUAAGGAUUGGAUAGUGAGGAACAGGAGGUUUUGUUAGGUAGCUGCCCAACAUAUGUUUCAAGAUUUACUUAAUUCAUUAUUAUUCAGCUAUAUCAGGAUACGAAUUGCCAACCAAUCAGGAGUGUUCAUAAAGGAAUAAUACAAUGUUUAAAUAUAUUUUAUUUAAUUGCUUAACCAAAGGGAUUGCGUGGCCUAAUGGAUAAGGCGCUCGCCUCCGGAGCGGGAGAUUGUGGGUUCGAGUCCCAUCGCGAUCGUUUUUGCAUUUAUUUUACAAAUUUGAAAUUUAGCUAUUCUAUUUUCAAUUCUUGAAAUUUAGUCCCUCAAUUAUUAUUAUUAUUAUUAUUAUUGUGAAUAUACCUCUUAAAACAAGAAAAAUAUAUCUUAAAUCUCAACUCUCCUUUCAAACCAGUGAAGAACCCCAAAAACCAUUUGUCUAAAUAUGUGAAUUUAAUUAAACCAACUUUUCUAAAUAAAUUGUUUACAAAUAUAUGAAUUUAAACUAUUUUUUUACAUAUUAUUUUUUUGUAUGAGAUUAAUGUUAAGGGUAUAUAAUUUUUGUUUGAAGUUGAUAAGGGUUUGUAAUUGAUAAAAUUUCAUCACUAAUUUUUGUACUGCUAAGUGCUAACUUGAUAUUUUCUUUAUUCAAUUAAAAUAAAUAAAUCUAUGAUUAUUGUAAUUUCUAGAAGUAAUCACAAAUUGUCACACAAGUGAAGUCUUUUUUUUUCUUUCUAUUUUUUUAAAAAUAUUUAUUCAUUGACUUGCAAGUAAUCAAGAAAAUUUCCAACUUCAAUUUAUACAGUUAUUCACAAAUUAGCAUGAAGAAGAGGCAAGACUUUGGGGUUUUUUCCUUAAUAAAAAAAAUUACAUCAUCCAAUUCAAUGGAAAUCGUUUGAUGAUGUUAUGCAUUAGAUCUCGAUUUUUAAAUAAAAUAAAAUAGAAAGCUAAAUUCUUGAAAUUAAAAGUUGAAGGAUUAAAAUUUAAAUAUGCUAAAAGUGCACAUUUAUGCAGCUACCUGAUACAAAGAUUUGUCGCAAAGAAAAGAAAAAUAGUAAAAACAUAGUGGUUACAAAGCAUGAGUCAAACUUCUAGCAAUUGAAAGUGCCUUAGCAGCAAAAUUAUUUUCACAGCACACAAGCAUUUCAACUACUUGUCCCAUGGUGGGUCUAUCAUCUUUGUCUUCUUGCACACAUUUCAGGGCUAUGGUUACCAAAAUUAACAUCUCAUCAAUGUCACAUUUUCCGUCCAAUGCAGGGUCUAACAUAUCUUUGCACCCCGUCCAUGUCUCAGCCUCCGUUGAUCUUUUCAUCUGCUCUUUCACCCAGUUCACCAAUGAUGUCUGGUCUUCUCCCCCUUCACCAUCUUCACUUGAGUGAGCUCCCAUUCCAGGGUUUCUUCCUGUUACCAACACCAACACAACAAUUCCGUAGCUGUAAACAUCCACCUUGGAGGUGAUGGGAUGAUUUGAAACCCACUCCGGUGCCAUGUAACCUCUGGUUCCUCGUAUCCUUGAGAAUCCUGAGUACUUAACAUCACCCUUGUUUAGAAGCCAUGAAAGGCAAAAUCUGACACUCUGGGUUGGUAACUGGAGUCUAAGAGGAUGUUUUCACGCUUUAUAUCGCAAUGAAGAACCCACUCUAGACAUUCUUCAUGCAAAUAAGCUAGUCCUUUCGCUGUUCCUAUAGCAAUUUCGAAUCUGUUUCUCCAAUCAAUUGAUUGAAAUGAUAAGCUUUUUGCUAACGAUCCGUGUUCCAUGUACUCGUAAAUCAAAAGCCGGUGCUUUCCUUCCAUACAGUAUCCCCACAUCUCUAUCACAUUCAUUUGAUGAAGCCUUCCUAUGGUGUCCACUUCAACUAAAAACUCAGCUUCCCCUUGGUGAUUGGCAUCGAUGAGUCGCUUGAUUGCGGCAGUUCGACCAUCGGACAACUUGCCUUGGUAUACAACUCCUCCUGCACCUCUCCCUAUCUCUUCUGUGAAACUUUUUGUAACCUUUUUCAGCUCUGCAUAAGUGAACCUUCUGAUGCUUGAUGUAGCUAAAAAGUAGCCUUGCACCGGACCCGAAUUCUGGCGAGUUCUUAUCAAGAGCCACAGCACAAAGAAAAAUGCUUAAUACCUCGACGAUUCCGAUAGCUCCUGCAGAUCAAAGAGCAAGCUUCAAAGACUCUCUUUCAUGGCUUUUUGGAUAUUCUCGACCCAGUUCCUCAAAUUUCGUGAAGCAGUCUAGCUUGUAAUCUUGAUCACUCGCCUUGUUGGAGGAGGAGAGGCUAACCUUUGGCAGUUUCAAGUACAUAUCGCCUUCGAAAUUGUCGGAACGACUCCAUUAAUCAGUAACUGUGCCUUGGGAUAACAGUAUAUGCCAUCCGAACGGUGCACUUCAAAGUGUUUGAAUUGAAACCCUUUGCAGUCACACAUGCUCAAGCACAAGUCCUCACACAUCUUUAUGGUAUAAUUAGGGUACAAACCAUAAUCAUAGCCAUAAAGUUCAACAUGACUGAGUUUCAAGAAACCAAAUUCAUCAGCUUGGUUACAUGGAAGAUCAAAUUUUGGUUCACAUCCAAAGGUCCAAUCUGUAGGAUUCAUCAUCUUAUAUCCUGGAAUGCAAGAACAUUGUCUACCAAGAUUAGGAACAUAACUACAUACACUGUUUGGUCCACAACUUCCAUGAAUCCGGCAUGGUUGCGAGAAGGCUUGCCGUGAUACAACCCAAUUUUCUUCUCCUUUUCGACUAUACAAUCGAAGAUUUCCAUCAAAAUCAAGCUUCAAAAUUCUUUGAAUCAUCGAGCCGAAAUCGGUUGGGAAGAAAUUAAUACCGUCGGCCGAACUAAAAUCGCCAAACGAACUUAGAACCGCGAUUCCACUAGUGUUGUACAUGGAUCUUCCAGCUUCCCAACUCAAUAGCGAGGGGUCUGGCCAAUAAACACUUGAAACCUCUGGACUUUGGUAUACAAGGUUAAGGACGUUGUUAGGAUCAAAAUAAAGAGUAAAGAAACCUGAAGAAAAAUUGCUUUUGCUUCUAGACGACACAAGCUUUGUGUUUUUGUUGAGAGGCUGAAGAGGAAGAAGGGUAUCAGUACGUGAAUCAAAGCUUUGCCAAAUCUUACUACCAUCCGAAUCAUGCAACACGAGAUUCCCACUAUCAUAUAGUUCUAAAUACAAAGACGACGUCAGGUUCGAAACAGUAUCAGCCUUCCAUACAAUUACAUGUCCGGCAUCUUUUAGAACAAGAUUACCAGAUCUCAAAAGGGUGAGCUUUGAGUGUUUGCUAUUGACAGGGAAGUCACGGUUCGCCAUCCAUACAAUGGUGCAAUUAUGAGUGGUGCAAGGAGGUUUGUUGAACCAUAUUGCGAAGCAAUAAGCAUUGUUUCCAACAGGGUGAAAACCGGCACUGAAAGUGCCAUCGGCUGAAGUCAAAACAUCAUUUGCUUGCUCUACUGAGAUCGAUGAACCCUCUUUUAAACCACGAGAAAGUGAAGAUACAGCAGAUGAACAGCUUAAAAGCAAAGAAAAGAUCAAGAUAUGUGGUGAGGCCAUGAAUGAAAUUUUUGGAAGAUUUGAGUUUUCAAGUUGAGCAGAAAUUAGGGUAAAAUGUAAAUAAAACUGUAAAUAGUGGAGAGUAAGGACUAAGUUCAACAGUUGCUUCCAUUAAUGCACGUUGCUUUCUUAAACCUAAACCCGACUUUUUUUGACAUUUCGUGGUAUUUAAGAUUUAGGGUCAAUCAACAUUUGAUUUUAAUAUAAUUUUUUUUGUCACUAUACUACAAACUCGUCGAUUAUAUUAUAUAAUUUUUUUAUUAAUUUGUUAAUAUUUAUAGGGCAGUUGAUUCACUUACAUGGUGAUUUUAACAAUUCGUUGAAUUUAUUAAAAAUUUGUAAUGGUCAUACAUAAAAAUUUUUAAACCGAUCUGAUAUCUCUAUCAUAUUGAUUUAAAAUAUUGUCUAUAUUAAUAAAAAUUUAAUGGUUAAAAGUUUUUUUUACAUAGAUGAAUAGUUAGAAAUUUUAAUUUUAUACCAAACUUGAUAUGCAUGAUCUAUAUGAACGAAGCAUCAAAUAGGACAGAUAAAUUAUUAAAGUAUUGGUAUAAAAAGUUCCGGAAAGGUAUAAAUCAGUUAAGUUUUAUAUAGGCGUAAAUGAAUCAUUAUCGGUGUAAGUGAAUCCUCCCAUAUUGAUAAAGUUUAAGUACAAUAAACCCUUUCUAUAGUAGCCACCUGCUAUAACAACAUUUCACUAUAACAAUCAAGUUUCUAGAAGAAGCGAUUUUUGAUGUUUUAUUUUAACCCUGUAUAAUAGCUUUUCACUUAUAACAACACACAUAUUAUGAAGUAUCCUCUUUAUUAAAUUAAUUUAAAUAUAAUAAAGCAUAAUUACAUAAAAGUAUAAAAUAAUGUUAAGUUACAAAGACAUUUCUUAUGAAGAUUAUUUUAAUUGUUCAAGGAUAUUAAUAUUAAAAAUAUAAAACACUUCGUAUAUAAAUAAUUGAUAAAUAUUAAAGAUAGUAAUUGCUUUAAAAAUAACAUAAAAAUUAAAAAUCUAUUACAAAUACUUAAUAUGUUUUAAGUAAACUCUUUAAAGCUAACUUAAUUGUAUUCUUCUCCAUGCCUUGCUCUUAAUUUCCAUCUAUUUGUUGAUCAGUGGCUUAAUUAGGUGGGAUUCACAUGUACCCGACCUCCUUAAAAUGACAUUUAAAUUUUAUGCAAAUUUCUUUUUCGAGCUCCACUCGAUGUGAGUUGAAAUAAUCUAUUUUCCGCAUUUACUUCUUUACUUUUAUUGUUGCCUAAAGUACUCUCCAUUUUGGUAGAAUCGAACCAACAUCCAACGAAAAAACUUAAGUUUAUUAAUGUUAAUUAGUAUAAAAAAGAACAGUUCACGUAGUAGUAAUAAUAUUGAUGGACUAUUAAUAGGAUAUAAGUUGCGGAUGGAUAGAUAGAAAUCAUGGGAAUAUGCUUAGUUUAAUUGGUAUGGAUGGUGUUCCUAAUGUAGGAGGAUGUGGGUUUGAGUGCGCUGAAAUGCAAUGGAUAUAAAUUUAAUAAAUAAUUUUAAUGGUGUUAACAACUCUUAAAAAUUACAUGGUCAUUUUAAUCAAAGUAAAGAUUAAAUAUCAAAUAUGAGCAUAGUAGAGAAAUCAAAACUACAAUUUUACCAUUAUCUUAUAAUAACUAAAAAAGAGGAAAAAUCAUGUCAUUAGCUAGUCUAAAUAAUUAACAUUGUUAACAAUUUUAGUAGCUAAUGUGGAUUUUUUAAAAAGUCUUAUUUCAACUCAUCAUGCCAAUUUUUUUUGUUAGAAUAAUAUUUUUUUUUCAAAAAGUUCUCAUCAAAAAAUUUAUCAGAGUAAUCAACAAUAUUAAGUAUUUGGACUAAACAUUAUAAAAAAAAAAUAGAGACCAAGUUAUUGUAGAAAUUCAAGUAUAAAGAUGAAAUCUUAAUUUUAGGCAUAGUAGAGGGACCAAAAGUGAUAUUUGACCAAUUUUCUAUCAAAUGCAAAAAAAAAAAUAGAAAGACUGAACAUGUGUCAAGUAGAGGGACCAAAUGUGAUAUUUGACCAAUUUUAUAUAAAGUGCAAAAAUAAAAAAAAUAAAAAUAUUGAACACAUGCCGAGUAAGAAGAUAAAGAUUAAAUCUUAAUUUUAGGCUUAGGCUUAGGGACAAAAAGUGAUAUUUGACCAUUUUCUAUUAAAUGUAAAACAAUAGCAUGUGUCAAGUAGGGGAGCAAAAGUGAUAUUUAACCAAUUUUCAAUACAAUGAAAAAAAAAGAAAAAAGAAGAAGAAAAAUACCGAGUGACUCGUGAAACCCAUAGAGAAGCCCAUCUACUUGAAGAUAUACAUCACUUGUUGCAUUUACUUGUCUCUGUUACCCAGAUUGCAUAGCCAUUUCUCCCCCAAAGUCCAAUGCACAACCCACUUCUCUCUUAGGCUAUAACCCUACUGAUAACUCAAUAGGGUUCAUAUUAAUUCGUUGCCCCUCUAGCAUUUCUAAGGGGGUCUUCAUAGCACUACUUCAAUCUACCGAGUCAAUAUUUUUUCUCUUAUGAACAUUCUCGACUAAAUGGAUUGCCAACAGUACCUUCAUUUCGCCCUCAUGUCUUGUCUCGCCGGCACAACACAUUGUUAUUGUCAAGUAUCCAAGAUGCAUAUACAAUCGGCAAAAGGAACCAACAUAGCAUUAAUCUUGUCAAGGAAGUUUAAGCCAAGAACAAAGUCAUAAUCAUUCAAGUGAAUUACCUCAAAGUCUUCCCUGCCUUUCCAUUAACCAAUUUAUAGCUCAACUCCUUGUGUUACUUACAUCCACAGUUGAGACCUCUUUAGAAUUAAAAAUCUUAAUCUUCUUAGUUGAUUCACGAACCAAGACACCAAGUUUACACAUGACAUUUUCUGAUAUGAACAAGUUUGAAGCCCCCGUAUUAAUAAGAACACUCUUCUUUUGAUCUGCGAUGUUGAUGUCUAUAUACAUCAACCUUUUCUACUUGUUGUACCUCUUUGUUUUCGUAGAAUUGAGUAUCAUUAACCCAAGCUUCAGUACCUUACUCUCAAUAGGCUCCCCUUAUUCUUUAUUGGUUGUGGAUAUCUUGGAUCGUUCUAGAUAGUCCUACAUCCUAUGCGGACCAUAACACAAGAAACACUCCAUUGGAUUUUUCUCAUUCUCUUGACAUCGACAAAACGCACAAUCAAACCAAGUCUCACCGAUUCUCUAUAUUGCUCAUCAUCCCUUCGAUAGUAGAUAACAUGGAUUAUUUCGAAUAGCCCUUCACAAUAUAUGGACCUUCGCAAAGAAAACACCUCAUUGGCCCAUUUGGUUUUUUGUUGGGCUUCUACUUCCCAUUUGCUCGUUUCCCAUUACCACCAUUGUCGAUAUUAUUCUCGACUGGUCCUUCUUCAUCUCUGCCACCAUUGCCCUCUUCUCUGGGCUCGAAAGACUCGAACUUGUUUCUCCUUGAAAUAAACUCAAAUAAGGACUCCACUAUAGUCAUAACUUUGGAAAGUUCUUAGACCCCUCGACGUUGCAAAUCUUGCUUCACCCAUGGCUUUAGCCCAUCAAUGAAGUAGAAAAAUGCCUCAUUCUCACCCAAAUCGGAAAUUUGGAGCAUGAGUUCACUAAAAUCUCGCACAUACUCCCUCACUUUGCGCUGUUGUGUAAGCUGACGCAACUUAACCCAAGCCUCAUACUUGGCAUACUCUAGGUAAAAUUGUACCUUGAAUUCUCUGUGGAACUCCUCCCAAGUCCUAAUAGUGGUACCACCUCGCCUCUCAUCUAUGGACCUAUGAUGCCACCAUAACAAAGUAGCAUCAGUAAAAUACAUGGCAAUAAUAUUUACCUUGGUAGCAUCGUCCAUGAUGCCUUUAGCAUAGAAGUAUUACUCCAUUCCCCAGAAAGAAGUUGUCUACAUCCUUUGCGAACAUCGUCCCAUUGAACUAUUUCAACUUCGAGACAUCUUCGUCCCAUUGAACUAUUUCAACUUUGAGACAUCUACUUUAGGCAUAGGUGCCGCAACCAACACUCUAUUUCACAAAGCAGCUUUACAGAUAUUGAUCUCCCCCUUGAGCUCCUUAAUAUGUUCCUUCAAAGUCGACACUAUAGCAUCGGGAGCAUCCUCCUUUUCAAUCAGCUCACCCAUAGCGGUGUUAAGGACCCCUUGCAUCACAUCCAUAUUUUCAUUUAGGGCCUCAACCAUUUGGUCUUUAAGCUGAUCGUGCCUCAAUUCCAACUCUCUGGUACGCCCAUCAACUUCUUUAAGGGUCUCCUUCACAUCACCUAUGGGACCCUCAAGUUUGGUCACCCUGCCAUCUAAAGCUGACAGCAUAUCCUUUGACCGACUUGCUUUCUUGGCCCUCCCACUAGUCUCCAUUGCCUCAACUUGCUCGUCUACUUCUUUUAACAUCUCAACUGACACCUUCGAAACCUGAACUCUGAUACCAAUUGUCAUAGGGCUAGAAUUUUAGUCUAGAAAAACAUGUGACCUUAGGCGGUUACUUUGCUUCAAAUCUGCCUAAGUUAACCUAAAACUCAGAGUGUGAAUUCUUCCAAAAAUACUUUAAGGCACUGAGAAAUAUAACGAAAGCAAUUUGAAAUGAAAAGAGCAACGAGAAAACUGAAAAGCCAUAGGAAAGUGAUGCACACAAGAUAUUUGAGUAAAUGCUCUCAAUAUAUUCUUUAACUUAGAAAAAUGAAGUACAAUAGGAUGAUACAAAUGAAGGGAGAGGCCUCUAUUUUUAGUUGAGCUCCCCCAAAACUAACGUUAAGUUACAUCGACAGUCAAGAUUAGAGUCUAUCUAUAAUUGAGAGUCUUGAGGGAGCCACCAAGGUUUAAAGUAUAUGGGUUUCUCCAUGGGUUUCACAGGUCAGACCAGUUCAAGUGAGUCAAAUGAACUCCAUUUAAUAAGUCUAAAAACUACAUUGACCAUGCACUAAAUAUUUUCCCAAAAUCAAAUUAUACGAGUGUAAUAUAUGUAUGGUGUAAUUACCUAUAGAACUCUUUAAAAAUAAAAUAAAUUAUUACCAUCAAAACAAAACAAAGCCAAGCCAUAGUAAUUGAUAAAAGCUUUCACUAUGAAAUUGAUCCCCAUAAACUAACCUCAAUUUUAGCAGCAAUCCUAAUCUUCAGACGUCUCAUGCAAGUGAAAAUUUCAAUUUAUUCCAAAAGAAUCAAAUUGUAUGAAAAAUUUAAAAGCAAAAACUACAAAUAUUUACCCUUGAUGAAAGAUAGAAACAAAAAUUGAAAAAGAGAAGCGAAAAGCAAAAUAAAAGUUUUAGAUGAAACUGGGAAGUCAAAGGGGAGAAGUUUUAAUAAAAGGUGUUAAUGUAAGAUAAUUAGUUUUACAUAAGAACAUAGAGUUAAUAAAUCAAGCAAACAAUUCAUUACAAAUAAAUAAAGCAUAUAUAACUAUUUCUUUCUUUGAAAUAACAAAACUUUGAGUCGAUUGGCAUUCUUCCAAAAGCAUUUUUUUCAAUUUUAGCCAAAACAACGAGUAGAAAAAAAGAACUUGGAAAGUCGUGCAGCUGACAACAGGAUCUUUAAAAAACUUCUCAGAAAUUUUUGAUAAUUUUCACAUAAAUUGAGUAACUAAUUUAUAGUGAGUGUAGUUCACCCAAUCUUCCAGCUAACAUUGAUAGAAAAGCAGUGAAUUCAAUCAUCUUCAACCUCAAAUUCUCAAUCCAGGAGGAAUAUAAUAGAACAAGCACUACUGCAAUUUUAUCAUUAACAAUCAGGAUAACAAAAAAGACAUCAAAUCCAAAUGCAUCUCUGAUGGAUGAUGAGGAGAAACCAAUUUAUUUAUAACAAGUCCACCCUAUCAGCCUCUACAACCUCAGCUCUACUAAAAUUCACUCUUGGAUAAAAAUACUAGCCACCAUUACAGCAGUGAACAAUGUUCAAAAAAAGCAAAGACGUGCAAAAUUAAAAGUUUAAGCGUCAUUAAGAGCAAGGACCCCUGGAAGUUGUUUGCCCUCAAGAAGCUCCAAGCUGGCACCACCACCAGUAGAGAUGUGGCUCAUCUUGUCAGCAAGCCCAGCUUUUUCCACAGCUGCAACAGAGUCACCUCCUCCGAUAAUUGUUGUCACUCCCUUCCCACUGAGUUCCGCAAGCUUCUUGGCAACCGCCUGCAUCGUAACAAGUAUUAAAAUCCAUUUUUAAGUAUGACCAAAUUAAAAGACCUGAUACCACAUCAUGACCACCUAAUUCAUGAAAGCAGUAAAUCACACACUUCACCGUACCUCAGUGCCGGCAGCAAACUUCUCAAACUCAAACACACCCAUUGGUCCAUUCCAGAUAAUGGUCUGGGUAGUGUCCAAAGACUCACUAAAGGUUUUGAUGGAGUCAGGUCCAAUAUCCAAGCCCAUCCAACCAUCUGGGAUCCCUGAUGCUGGCACCACCUGCAAAAACAUUACAAAAUUCAAACACCAUCAAAACAAAAUCCGCUGAAGCAGCGAUUCUCCAUAUCCACUUGGAGAUUAGGUACAUAUAUACACUCUGCUUCCGUACAGGAUAUUGCUGUAAGAUGUAUUGCGAUAUAGUACACUCAGCACACUCAUAGGAUAAGCAUAAUCAGCACAUACCUUGCUGUUAGCAUCAGCAGCAAACUUGUCAGCAACAACCACAUCAGUGGGGAGCAAGAGAGAGACUCCUUUUGCCUUGGCCUUCUCAAGGAGUGAUGUUGCUAGAUCAAGUUUGUCUUCUUCCACAAGUGAAGAUCCAACCGCAUAUCCUUGGGCCUUGUAGAAGGUAAACAUCAUUCCUCCACCCAGUAUGAGAAUAUCAACCUUGGCCAAGAGUGAUUCAAUCACUCCAAUCUUGGUUGAUACCUUAGAACCACCGACAAUUGCAGCAAAUGGCUUCUUGGGAUUUGCCACAGCUCCAACAAGAUAAUCGAGUUCCUAAAAAGAAAAAAGAACUUUGCAUGUCAAAGAAACCCAACAGAGCUCUCCACUAUUACAUGUUAUCUAAAUGCUUGAAAAAACGAGCAGACUGGUUAAGUGGUUUCUAUCAGACCAAUCCGCUGGAUCAUUAGAUGCUUCAUUUUCAAACUUAGGAUAUUCAUAAUACCUUCUGCAUAAGAAAACCAGCAACAGAAGGCUUUAAGUACUUAGCCACUCCCUCUGUGGAAGCAUGGGCUCUGUGCGCAGUGCCAAAUGCAUCAUUAACAUAGAGAUCAGCGAGAGAAGCUAGCUUCUUUGCGAAUUCAGGAUCAUUCUUCUCUUCCUCCUUGUAGAACCUCACAUUCUCAAGCAGCAAUACACCGCCAUCUGGUAAUGCAGCCACCAUUUUCUCAACUUCUUCACCAAUACAGUCAUUUGCCAUUUUAACCUCGACUCCAAGGAGUUCAGAUAACCUUGGCACAAGAGGCUUCAAACUGUACUUGGGAGUGACACCCUUUGGGCGUCCCUGAAAAAGCAAUUUGAAAUAUAUCAUGAAAUCUUCAACUAGAGAAAAGGUCGACAUAUAAAAGGAAUUUUCAUACGAUUUGCAUGUAUCCUAUUGCUAAAACUAAAACGAUUCAAAAUAAUCAUUAUUCUUUUAUAUUGAAAAACACAAACCUUACUCAUCCCGUGCCCCAGAUAUUCUUUAAGAGCUUAGACUAUCAUUUAAUGGAACAAGGAGAAGAAUCAUCCUACCUUAACAUUCGCCAAAGCAAUUAUAUAGUUUUAGAUGAACUAUUGCUGCCAAAAUUGUGCAAAUAAUAAACCAAGCUCACAAUCAGAACCAAGAGAAAACAAAGGCGAACCAAUUUACGAGUUAAAAACAGACAGCAACUAUGAAAAUAUCAGCCACAGAACAUGCUUGUUAGAUAUAUCAAAAAUCAAUAAAUACUAUCUCCGUGCAGUGAUUUUAGAAUUUAAAAGAAAAUGAGAUCGAACAUAAAAGAUAUAAACAAAAAACUGAGAUGAUGCAGCCUCCAUCCCAUUCAGACAGAUCUAGCUCAGUCAAUCAAAAAUAAAUCUCAAAACCACAAAUACCCAUAAUAAAAAAACAGUAAUCAGAUCUUAAUGAACACCAGAUCAAAACAUGCAGAUAAAUCACAAGGCAAACAGAAACCCAAAAACCCAGUAUGGGAUCAAAAGAAAAUUUUUAUUAAAGAAAUCAUAUCUAAAGAAAAGGAAUAAAAGAAAGGUACCAAAUGACUAGAGAGGAUGACUUUAGAGCCAUGACCCAUCAAAUACUUGAUGGUGGGAACAGCGGCACGGAUCCUUGUGUCAUCAGUUAUGUUGAAGUUAUCAUCCAAUGGAACGUUCAGAUCGACUCUAACAAACACUUUCUUUCCCUUCAAAUCAGCUUCCUUCAAGUCCCCAACGCUCUUCUUUGUAGCCAUGGUAGUAGCACUUCUUCAACAACAACCAAAAGUAUAAACAACGCUACACCCGAAAAAAGGAUUAGAGAACCGAUCUGCAAAAUCAAUAAGAAAAUGGGAGUAUUCAAAGUGAGAGUACUUACGAAGAUGAGAGAGGCGGAUAUAUCUAGACAGUCAAAAGAAACGAAGGAUCGAGAAGGUUUUAAUACAAGCGAAGCGCACGCAGGUUUUUUUCCUGGGUAAACUACACCCAUGGUCAUUCUAAAGUAGUCUCUCUACUAUUUUGCUCACUCCAAUUUUUUUUCAAUUUAGUCACUUUAAAUAAAAUAAUUAUGUAAAUUAGUCACUAUCUUUAAAAUUUCUAUUAGCCUUUAACGGAUUGCUGACAUGGCAUACCUUAUUGAGUGACUAACAUGUGGCACUUUUUUUACAUUUGACUAAAGCUUAGAGACCUCUUUAUAAAGUUUAGGAGGAAAAGGUUUUGGACUAAUUAUAGGGAGGACCCUAGACUUUAGUCAAAAGUUAAAAAAAUGCCACGUGUCACUCAAUAUGCUAAUGUGCCAUAUUAGUUAUCCGUUAAAAGAAAACAGAAAUUUUAAUGGCAGUAAUUAAUUCGCACAAUUAUCUUAUUUAGAGUGACUAAAUUGAGAAAAAAAAAUUGAAGUGAUUAAAAUAGGUUAGACCUUAUUUUAGAGUGACCAUGGGUAUAGUUUAACUUUUUUUUUUUUUACUUUAGCCCCAUGAUUCAAGCGAAGCGGCACAUAGGUUUUCCUUUUCUAUUUUAAGCUUAAGGUUCUGGCUCCAAACUUUUUCAAAUAAUCAAUUUAGUCCCUAUAAAAUUGCGCAUUUAUGUAAUUUUGUAUCAAUUAACGGUGCGUUUAUUCCACAAAAAAUGACUUACAAUUUUUUUUCAUUUUCCUAUGUAAAUUUCAUGAAAAAUAGCUAAAUCAAUGGAAAAUGAUUUAUGGAUUAGUGGGAAAUAAGUCAUUUUUCAUGUAAAUUGACUUACUCUUUAAAAAAAUAUAAAUCAUUUCUUCCGAAAGAGUUUAUUUAUGAGUAAUUUUAUUUUUAUAUAAAGUUUAACUUCAAUAAAGCUUAUUAUCAUAUUAAUAAUAUUUUUUAUUUAAAUUUUAAAUUAUUAAAAAUAAAUUUUAUAAAGUACAAUAUUAUUAAAUAUAUUUAAUAAUAUAAUAAAAAUUAUUAAUAUAUUUAAUAUAAUUUAUUAUUUUAAUAAUUUUUUGAUAUUAUAAUUUUUUAAUAAUAAUUUUUAACAAUAAUAAUUUUAAAUUUAAACAAUAUUCUUAAUACAUUAAUAAAAAAUAUUUAUAUCAAUAUUUUUGUAACACCCCAAUACAUGACUCGAUCGCCAAGUCCGAGAUUCAAGGCGUCACAUUCGUUGCCAGAGCAACUACGAUCAAUUACAUUCAAUUUAUACUAUUAAAUGAUCAAUUUUCAACUCAAUCAUGCAUACAAUACAAUAUACAACAGUUUCUUGGUCUUAUACGAGCUUACGAAAGCUCUAAAACUAACCUGAGGUCGAAAUAUAACCAAAUUGUAAGAACUUCAAAUUAUUGGGUUGACACUGCGACGUUAAGGGGUUAUUCGUCGUGACACAACAUACUGAGUAGGUCUCAUCGCAGUGACCCCAGCCCAACGUCACGUCGUGGCAUGGCAACCUAGUCUCGUCGCAACGAUAGACACUCAACGUUGCGACGUGACAUACUAACUUCAAAUGGUCGAGUUUUGGUAGCUAUUUACAUUCACGUAUAAAACUUCAAAUCAUUUGCAAUACAAUUUAAAAAUUCAAAACGCAUAUCCAAUGAAUUUUAUCAUAGUUAAUAUACCAUUCAUACAUAUAGAGUUCAAAAAUACAAGUUGAUAUAUCACAUUUAUACCAUUCUUAGGAUUUACCAAAUCCACCUAUUCAUUCAUAUGUAUAGAUAACAAAAAUGGCUAUAAUUGAGCUUAUUUCAUUAUAUACCAAUUCUUGCCAUAAGGAUUCAAGCUAUUAAUCAUGUCAAGUUACCAUUUAAAAAUUAAAUGUUUUCAUUUUAAACCAAAACCGACUCUAUCUAGGUACAUGCCAUAUAACGAACCAAAAAGAGACUUUACAAACAUUGAUGAGUCGGGAAUCUCAGGUUGGAUGCUGGAUUCAAUGCUCGGGACCUCGAGAUGUACCUAAACCUGUGCACAGGAAAAUAAACCGUACGCUGAAUGAUAAAGCUCAGUGGUAUGUUCAUGAUUCAAGUCAAAAUAAUAUGAGUUUCAAUCAAUUGUAUACAUUCAACUUCAUAUCCUAAUAACAAUCAAUUCAUAUACAAUUCAUGCUCAUUCUCAAUCACAUAUCAACAUAUAUCUAUAUAUGCCACAAUUUGCACCAAUUAUAUCAAAUAAUAUUUGCACUUCUACUCAAUUCUCAAUAUUUAUUUCAUUUUUUAUCUUACCAUAUUGGCCCUCAGGCUUGUUAAUCGAUCCGCAUGGUCUUUCACAUGCUAUGAAUCAAUAUUGUUUUAUAAAUAUCUGUAAUUUAACUUUAUAACAUUUAAUCGUUUUCCAAAUAUUAAUCAACCAAAUUCACCAUUUAUAUUUCUUAUUAACACAAUUCGGACUUGUACCGAUACAUGUAUCCCAACCAACACACCAAUUUUGCACCCAGUGCCUCAUUGCAAUGUCCGAAGUAUAUAAAUUGCAUCCAACACUCAUCUGUAUAACUGAAAUAAAAAUUGCAUCCAGCGCUAAUCAGUAUAACCGAAAUAAAACUUGUGCCCUACAUUCAUCGAAACGUUUGAAGGAAAAUGUGACUAGCACUCAUCGACAUAUAGCCAAAGUAAGUCAUACUCAAUCUAUCCUAUGGCAUGCCAACUCUAUUUGACUCUGCUCGAACAGUUAAUAGAGUAACCAAUUAUCCAAUUUAUCAUAUAACACAGUUUACAUUUUAUUAUUUCAUUACAUAACAUAAUAUGAUUCAACCUAAUUCAAAGCCAAUUUCAUAUUUUCAUUAAGUUACACUAUUUUCAACUCUGUUCAAUUUAGUCCUCUAUUUUGAUAACCAAUCUCAAUAAUAACAACUCAAUUAAAAUAAUAAUUUUCAAAUCACCUCAAUAUCAUACUAUGCAAAAAAAAUAUAAAUAUGCAACAAUUAUAAUGAUUCGAAUCAUAGAAAUACAAACCGAAGACUCGAGUUAUUCGUCGUCGACUAUCGCCUUUCCUUUCCCUUUCGAUAACCCUGUGUUGUCUUUAGCUACGAAUAAUAACCCAACAAUAAACAACAUCUCAUUCCAGAUCAAUUCACAUUCAAUUACAAAGUUACACAUAUUUUAUAAUUUAUUCAAUUUAGUCCCAAAAUCCUAGACGAGCAUAACUUUCGAUCUAAACCUUCGGAUUAAAAUCUGAUUUCACAUAUAUUCAUUAGGGACCUUUUAUUUUCUAUUCCUACCAAAAUUUAAUAACAAUUUUACAUUUCAUUCAAGUUGGUCCUAAAUGUAUGAAACUAACAUCUAAGCUUUACAAUUUAGUCCUUUUGUUAAACUAAGCUUAAUUUCUCUUAAGCUCAACAAUGGUGGUCAGUUUAGGUGAAGAAGAAAGGUGAUAUUCUUUUCUAACUAAGAUUUAAUUUAGCUUAACUAAUUGCAUUUAACUAUUACUAAUCAUGCUUACUAACUUAACAUCACCAUCCACUAAGUCUUAUUUGAACAUGAUUUAAUUGCUAUUUUGGACCUUUAGUGAAUUGCAAUUUAAGUCCCCAAGCCAUUUACUAAUUAAAAAUCCAUAGCGAUUGGACUUUUACAAUUUAGUCCAUGGGCCUUAAUUAAGCAUAAUUUAUGCUAAAUCACUUAGCCAAUUUUCAAUUCAACAAUAUAUGAACUCUGUAAACAAUCCUAUUUAAAAUUAAUAGGCUUGAUCCAAAAUCGUAUUUUUCGAUAGCACUGAAAAUCGGGUCAUUACAAUUUUAAUAAUAAAUAUAUAUUAUUAGGGUUUUGUAACUAGAAUCCCAUUUAAUCCGGCCUGAAAAGUUUGAGGUGCAACUCACUUGUUAAAUAAAUAAAAUAGAGAGGCAAAAUUGGGGAUUUAUAGGGGCGAAGGUCCGAGCCUUGUCGCACAAGUUGAAUUCGUAUAGGAUUGUACUUCUUCUAUUAGACAUUGAUUGAAAAAAAAAAGAUUGUUUAACCCUUAAAAACUGUGCAUAGUCGAAAACCUCUUGUAUUCUUGUUUUUCAACAUUAGUGAAUUUCUCCUCCUCUGCCCAUAGUUUUUCUCGAUAAUGUUUUCCACAUAAAAUUUGCGUGUUCUUAUUUUUCUCUCUUAUUGCUUUGUGAUCAUUCCUACUGUCAUUAUCGACGUAUAGUAUAACAUAUAUUGCAAUUUAUAAAUAAUUACACUUCCAAAGAAACUCCCAACCCCUAAGACAAAGAGUUACAUGAACAACAUCUACAUCUAAUUGAUUAAUUGACCUGUAAUGGAUCUUCCAUAGGAACUGAGCAAGGCAAGAGCUAGAAGUCUCAUUGGAAAUGAAAGGAAUGAAUCAUUGGUUCAUUUCAACACAUACCUCAUGUAAUAAGUGUAUAGGUUGAAUUACAGGCACUUAGAGAUAUACUUCAACUCGCAAAUAACAUUAAUGCUCAUAAGCUAGAAAAUGAACUGAAUAUCAUUGUUAUCAAAUUGAUUCACAAUAACGACAUCCCUAGCAAAAAGAAAAAAAAAGGUCUUGUUUGUGAUUGCAAGACACUUUUAAUUGAUCUUAAUUAAAAAGUAAUCAAUCACAAGUCAAAAAGAGGAAAAUAAAUAAAUAAAAUUUUGGUUUAGGUUCUAAGAAAUUUUUGAUAUUUUAUUAGGAAUUUUAGUAUUGAGAUAACAAACCAAAAUUUUAUUACAUACUAACAAAUUUUGUUAAACAUAUAAUAAAAAAAAUAACAUUUAUUCAUAUGGUGAUUUCUUAUUCAUACGAAUAAAUUUAAAAUAUAGAAACUAAAAUUAAUUUGAGAAUAACCCAAAAUUUUCAACUAAUUCUUUUUUAUUUUAUUAAAAAUUUUGAUAUGUUAAAACAUUGCAGGCUAAGUUUUAUAAAAUGGUUAGAAAUUUUAUUAAAAGCUUAUGGCGAACUUACGGCAUCAUAACCCCGCUGUAUUUGGGGCAGAUGCUAUGAGCAGGACCAUGUAUGGGUGCUUCACGAAUCACUUUCCGACCAAAAAAAAGACUGAUUCUCGAUGAUAGCGACUGAAUGUGGGAUAUUCUAAUUCCAAAAAUAGAUUCCGUUUUGAGUCAACUCAAUUAUAAACGGACUUGCAUUUACAUUAAUGCAUGUAUUUUUUUCUUUUUUUUUUCCUCUUAAAAAUGGGUUUCAAAUCUUAUCAUCUGAUUAUUAAAAUUUAUAAUUCAUGUAUUUACGUCACAUUCUUAUAUUUUUAUAUAUUAUGAUUAUGAUUAUGAUUAAAAAUUUUAUGUUAUAUAAAUUGUAUAUGAUAGAGAAACGGACAAAGAACAAUAUAGAAGUGCCCUUACCCACGUCGAUUACAUAGAAAAGUUUUUCCAGCUUUAUAAUAACAUGUUUUAGAUUCCUGUUUUAGAUUCCUCUUGUAACGAAGUGAAUGGGUCAUGACCAUAGCUUCGGACCCAGGAAAGUCCCCGAGCCGCUAUCUGCAGAGAUGCAGGCUCGGAAAUGAGUAUUAAUCUUUGAGUGGAGGUGGUCUGUCGCAAAACAGGGCUGAGACAAGUGUGGAGCCGAUGACCUCUUCGCCAAAGCAAGUUAGCCGAAUCUCACAGUUAUUCACUUGGUUCUUCACAGGACUAACCGAACGGGGCUUAUAAUCUCGUAGUUUACCCUUUUUGGUUGUUUUUUUAACCAGAUGAUAGAAACAAUUCAUCCCAGCUUUAAUCCCUAUCCUGUGUAUAUGUUUUUGGAUUUUCUAAAAAGCUAGGUAAAGUAAACCUCGGAAACUCUCGAUUUUCCAAAUCCCAGACUUGUUAUUUUAUUUGCUAUGAAAAUUAACUCUACACUCUCUCAACAUUAGGCAAAAGCAUUGAUAGCCAUUUUGGCUAAAUAUGGUCAGACAUUGUAGGGUACAAAUUAAAUGAAAAUGAGGGUAUAUAUUGAUAUCUUUAACACAAAAUAAGAGUUUUAAGCAAUGUUGAAAUUUGAACUUGGGCGCUUUGAGAAGACAAAGAGAAUGCCAAUUAGUUCUAAAAAGUUUACUUGGGUCAUGUUUUGAUUAUUAGGUGUUAUAAGUUGAACCCACAUUAAUUGGCUUGCCAAGUCUUUUCAUAAAAUAAUAAUGCAAAAAUCUUUAUAUUUGAAUAAUACCCACAACUUGAAAUGAAUGGAUGCUUUGGUGGAAAAUGAUAUAUGGCUACAAUGAUGGCCACAAACACACAUUUCAGGGGUGGGCUUCCCAUGAUCUCUGCAGGACAUAUUACUUGACCAGAACAAAAAGUUGAUGCCUACAAGUAGUAAAGGCCUCUCAUUUUUAUGUGGCUUUCGCUAUUGUUGACAGAUUUCUGAUCAGAUUUUGGCCUUUCUAUCUCUUUCUACAGUUGAAAUGAUAACUGCCAUCUCAGGAACGUUAAGAGUCAAUUUGCACUUGAUGAUAUCAAACUUACGCAAGGUCUUUUAUGUUGCCUUUUGCUCUUCGAUUUCACUACUUUUAUUUGGUGUUCUUUUAUCUUCUAAUUGUAAAAAAAAAAAAAAAAAAAAAACACCAAAACUAGUGCCAUGGAACCAAAGUACUGCUAAGCUUAAACCUGAUAAAGGCAUAGCAAAAUCUCUUGAUGGAAUAAUUUCUACACCCACAGGAGACCAGUUAAGUUAAACCACUGUUCAUUUGUUUUCAUAUGCUUAGAGCAAUUUUUCAUGCUUACAAUAGUAAAUAUCUGGUUCUGGUAACAAUUUCAGCAUAAAUCUCUACUUGAUCGAAAGUUUGGGGUUAAUUUACACCAACAGCUCAAAAUAGAAGUAAUAAGAAGGUAUCAUAUCCC
rnacentral:lncRNA from 1 species